rnacentral:lncRNA from 1 species
GAAUACACGAUCAGCAGCAUGAGACGUAGCUCGAAGGAACUCUCGUUGGGCGUGAAGCCUUGCCAAGGAUCUCGAUCGGCCAAGAGUUUCGUCUAGGUUAGAAGCUGAGUCGGAAUCCAUGUCCUUGGAUUUGAAGAGCGAGCCAUCCUCGGAAGCUUCCUCCAGGGCCUCUCUGAGCUUGUGUUCUUGAAGUUUCCGGAGAACUGAAGGAUUCCUUUUGACUUCGACAUCGGAUUCGGACCCAUCUCUCCUCCUGCUCUUCUUGUCCAGAAUUAGAGCAGCGCAGUGAGAAAUGGGCUUCCAAAGUGACAGAUGCAUCUAUCUAAUCUAGCUCAGAAAUGGGAUUUGAUUUGAGACAAAUUUAGUAAAUUGAAUUCAGCCCAUCAAAGAGGGUAAGGGAGAAGAUAGAAAGCAGCGUAACCCAGAUCAGGAAGAGCUGAAAACUGGAAGGAAUAGGAGGAAUGAAUGAAAAUGAGUAGCCAACCAAAACAAAGUCAAAUCAAAACCAUCCAAACGGAAACCCAAUAAUUAAGAGUUGCAAGUCAAACCCUAGCAAACCCAGAUCGUACUCUAGC